rnacentral:rRNA from 1 species
AUUGCCCUAGUAACGGCGAGUGAAGCGGCAACAGCUCAAAUUUGAAAUCUGGCCCUCGCGGUCCGAGUUGUAAUUUGUAGAGGAUGCUUUUGGUACGGUGCCUUCCGAGUUCCCUGGAACGGGACGCCAGAGAGGGUGAGAGCCCCGUACGGUGGGACACCUAUCCUAUAUAUAGCUCCUUCGACGAGUCGAGUAGUUUGGGAAUGCUGCUCUAAAUGGGAGGUAAAUUUCUUCUAAAGCUAAAUACCGGCCAGAGACCGAUAGCGCACAAGUAGAGUGAUCGAAAGAUGAAAAGCACUUUGAAAAGAGGGUUAAAUAGCACGUGAAAUUGUUGAAAGGGAAGCGUUUGCGACCAGACCUUUUCCAGGCGGAUCAUCCGGUGUUCUCACCGGUGCACUUCGCCUGGUUUAGGCCAGCAUCGGUUUCCUUAGGGGGAUAAAGGCCUGGGGAACGUAGCUCUUUAGGGAGUGUUAUAGCCCCUCGCGUAAUACCCCUCAGGGGACCGAGGACCGCGCUCUGCAAGGAUGCUGGCGUAAUGGUCGUCAACGACCCGUCUUGAAACACGGACCAAGGAGUCGAACAUUUGUGCGAGUGUUUGGGUGUUAAACCCUCACGCGUAAUGAAAGUGAACGGAGGUGAGAGCCCUUAGGGGUGCAUCAUCGACCGAUCCUGAUGUCUUCGGAUGGAUUUGAGUAAGAGCAUAACUGUUCGGACCCGAAAGAUGGUGAACUAUGCGUGGAUAGGGUGAAGCCAGAGGAAACUCUGGUGGAGGCUCGCAGCGGUUCUGACGUGCAAAUCGAUCGUCAAAUCUGCGCAUGGGGGCGAAAGACUUAUCGAACCAUUAAAAACCAGCGGUAAAUUUGAAUUACUAGGUGGUUAAGAGGCCCCUC